GAACGACACACAUUUGGAGUUUUUGGGGAAGGGUACAUUUGGCAGGCAUUAGGCGAGCGGGUUGAGAGCCGUAAUGAGCCAUAAACUUGGCCGGCGGGAAUGCAUGUGGAAUACCAAAGUGCGAUGCAGUCAGCGAUGCGGGGCAAAGCGGCUCAGAUCCGCCUCAAAACGCCAAUUUUUGAGGUUGCGGUGGUAUAAAAGGCUGCAAUCUGGCAAACAUCGAGUGCAGUUCGAUUUUGUUUGUCAAGUCGAGAAUUAACCCUUUCGUCAUCAUGCUGAAGCUGGUACUCCUCCUCGCCGCCCUCCUGGCCGUUGCCAUGGCCGUUCCUGCUCCAGGACCCAGUCCAAAUCCCGCCCCGGUGCCACAGUUUGUCUACUCCGCCGGCUAUCCUGCCGUGGGCUAUGCCUCCCCGUACGUCUACUACGGCUGAACUUCAUAUCCGGAUUCACUGAAUAAACCCUUUCGACAUGGACAUGGACAACCAGUUUGAUUUACUUAAUACACAUAGUUUGGCAUAUUUUCCAUUUCCCAAGAACAAUAAAUAAAUUGAAAUCAUAGAAAU